UACGUAGGUGGCGAGCGUUGUCCGGAAUUACUGGGUGUAAAGCGCGCGUAGGCGGGAGGCCAAGUCCGCUGUGAAAUCGCCCCGGCUCAACUGGGCGCGGUCGGUGGAAACUGGUCACCUGGAGGACGGUAGAGGCGAGUGGAAUUCCCGGUGUAGUGGUGAAAUGCGUAGAGAUCGGGAGGAACACCAGUGGCGAAGGCGGCUCGCUGGGCCGGCCCUGACGCUGAGGCGGCGAAGGCGUGGGGAGCGAACGGGG
rnacentral:rRNA from 1 species